GACGAACCGUGCGAACGUUGUUCGGAUUCACUGGGCUUAAAGGGCGCGUAGGCGGCUGGCCAAGUCAGGGGUGAAAUCUUUCGGCUCAACCGGAAAACAGCCUUUGAUACUGGCCGGCUGGAGGAGGGUAGGGGCGGAUGGAACUUCCGGUGGAGCGGUGAAAUGUGUUGAUAUCGGAAGGAACACCGAUGGCGAAGGCAGCCCCCUGGGUCGACACUGACGCUCAGGCACGAAAGCGUGGGGAGCAAACAGG
rnacentral:rRNA from 1 species